ensembl:lncRNA
UAUCGCUGAUAUUUCUGCCCUCUGUCAGAUGCGUUUGAUGUUGGCCAAAGCUCCUCCAAGUUACUGGGGAGAAGGGGGAGUGAUGUGAUGUACAUCGCAAUUGAAUAAAAACCGGUCAGCAGCCAGAAGAGUUCCUGUGUGCAGCACGAAUCCAAAUAACUUGCUUUCCAAGCUGAGCUAGCUAUUAAAACAGAAAAAUGUGCAAUGAAGCUGCACCUUCCUGAGUGGCUCAGGGACUUCUGGUCCUAAACCUGAAGUCAUCUCCUGUAAUGAGACACAGCUGAGACGAGUUCUGCCUCUCUCAGAGAAUAACUCCUUUCUCUGUUUCCAGGAAUGAAUUGUAAGCAGCCAAAGAGAGAGGAUGCUCCGUGCUCACUGGGGUUAGACAGGCUGAAAAUUGCUCUGUCCUGGAAUUUGCACAUGAGGAUCUCUUACAGAUUACACUGGAGCAGACUGAGAGGAAGUAUACAUGAGUAAAUUUGGUUUGCCUGAAAUUAAACCAGUAUUGAUGAGAGCAGGAUUUGGUCCUUAGACCCUCAAUUGAGGGCACCUGUGUUUGGAAGGGGUUUAACUUACUGCUAUGCUUUGGAGAGCACCUUCCUAAUUUACGGGCUUCAUGCACAGUAUUGAAUGGUGGCAAAUUAACUGGAAAUGAAAACAAUCCCAGCACUUUUCUUCAGCUGCUGGCAAUCCCUGUAACUCCACUGUCUUUAAUAACAAGUGCUAAUUUUACACCUGUUAAGGACUUGAUAAAAGGCAGUGUUGGCUAUAUCAGCCCUUCUGGGGCAGAUAAUGAGCCAUUUUGUGGCUCUGAGUUGCUGAUUUCUCAUUGCUUGUGCUGGCUGCAGCUUCAUGAGGACAAAUAUGUGCUUCUGAGAAAAAGAUACUCGUCGCUGUAAAACUAACAAAUCUGAGUUCUGCUAAGCUUACCUCAGAUGUUCAGCGCAUCAAGAAAGGAUUGUUGAGUCCAUUGCAUUCUGCCCACAGAAUAUUAUAAAUGUGCAACUGAGCAACAAACAUCUGG